UCAUUUUAUAUUUUAAAUUUAUUUUAUUUUUGUACAUGACUGUAUGUAUAACAGCACACCAUGUGGAUGCAGUACCCAGAGGAGCCAGAAGAGGGCAUCAGAGCCCCUGGAGCUGGAGUUACAUGUGGCUGUGAGCUGCCCAACCUGGGUUCUGGGAACCAAACUCAGGUCAGGUUAGAAGAGCAAGCAGCACUUUUAACCACUGAGUCAUCUCCCCUACAAACUGUGAAGUUGCGCUUUCCCUCCUCCAUCAAUCUAUGCUCCAAGUCUGUCCCUCCACCGUGUCUGAUCUGUCUGCCGCCGUGGAGACAGCUCUGUACAAGUUGACCCUCACCUCACCUUGCACUGGUGCACCCUGAAUCUCUUCCUUGGACUCCUCUAGAGGAGAUGCAGCAUCCUGCAGGGAUGUUUGGGAGGAAGGAUGACUUCUCUCCAUCAGUGGGAUAAGAGCCCAGGUGAACAGCUUCAGUCUGUCAUCUCUCAGUGGGACAGUAAGAAACACAGCCAACUUGCUCUGCAGAGGAGCGCCGAGGGGCCGAGCUCAAGAGGGAACCCUUCCUCAUUGCCUUUCUUCUUUCCUGGUCUUGCCCCUCACCCCAGAUCACCUCCCAUGUAACCUACCUGCACCCCAUCCUUGCGACAGGCUCUGCUCCCAGGUAAACAAAAGGGAAGCUGAUGUGAGAAGUUUGUCUGGGAUGUAGAGAAAGAGGACUCUAUGUUUGUUAGAUGAUGAGGAGAACCAGCAUCAUCCCUGUCAGCAUCCAUUCCAUCCUCACCCCUGCAGCUCAGUGGGACCACUGGAGCGGGACACAGCAGAACACCAGUUCCUCCCAGCUUUUCCAUUUAGAGCCAGCUCCUCUCCUCAGUGGUGGGCUAACUGGGAAGGUGGGAGAGAUGGAGCUGAGAGUGGAGCCUGUCUGUCACUAAGGGGGAUGUACUUUCCCAUGAUGCAGCAUACGGCCACCAUAGGUUUGGGUCAUGGACCCUGGAUUGGCUUUGGAGGCUGAGUACCAGCUAGGGGAGUCACUGGUCUGAUCCUGAGCAGCUGAAGUAUAGAGCCCAGCCUAAGGCUGGAGCCCCCAAGGCUGGAGACUUGACUGAGGUGGGGUCUAACUACGCAGCUAUACUGACCCUCAUACUUACUCUUGCUGUAUCCUGUCGGGUGUACCCCUACACCGCCUAGCACAGGGCUCUGCAGCCGAUUGUUCUGCAAGGUUGGGUAAUUGGGAGGGGGUGUCAGAUCCCCAAAAAGAAGCCAGAACAUAUAGCUGUUUGACAGGCCCAGGCAGCUCAGUGGCUUCUCUCUUGGGAGCGAAAUAGCUGAACUUGGUAUUGUCUUUAAGGAUGCUGAGCUGGGGACCAGGGAGAACUAUAGCUGAUCUUGGGCAGAGGCCUCACCCCUGUGCAGAUCGUAAAUGGCCUCCACCCCGGCUCUCCAGCUCUCCCAGCCCAGGUCCCCCUCCCCUCCCCCAGUCUGAAUCUGCCUGAAGGCCUGAAUGUCAACCAUAUGUUUCAGAUGCUGGAUUGCCGCACAGUGAGCCAGAAGGGCUGUUCGGGAGAGAGCAUUCAGUCAAAGCUGUGUUUAUACACACGAGGGCCAGGCGUCUUUUUAUUAUGCAGAAUUAUACACUUCUUAACACACAGGCAUCAAAAGCCAUUUUUUGUUUUUUGGAAGCUGCCACAGCAUGGGCAGUGCGAGUCCGCAGCAGGGGUGGUGGGGGACGGGAGGUGACUGCUCGUCUCUCCUUGACUCAAGAGCACUGAGCCCCGAGCAUCCCGAUCUGAUGGAUGAGCGUGCAAGGGCACUGUAACUGAGACCUCAUUCUUCCGAGGGGAUCUGGGGAGCUGAGCCCCAGCAAUACCAUUUAGCAUGUUGCGGAGCUUAACGGGAAGCUCCAGCUAGCUCUGUCUUGUGCCUCAGCCUCAGAUCGCUCGUCUGCUCUCAUUCUGGAAGGAACGUGAUAGAUAUUUACCAAGAAGCAUCUUCUAGAGUCCGCACCCUCAUCCUCAGAAGCAGUCAGGCCUCACUGAACAGACAAGAAAAGGGACUUAGAAGAACUCAAGGGACUUGCUGGACCGCCCUUGCUGACUGACUGUGGAACCCCAACCUACAGCUCCCUGGCUGGCUUGAUAAAUUGACAUUUUUCAGAGCUGGACAUCUGAUCUCUUGAGAAUGCUCCAGACUUUUAGAUAUUGGAGAUGCUGGAGUUCUGGGGCAUGAAAAGUGCAAACACAGCAGAGGGGAGUGCGGAGGGAGAGCCAGGUUGAUGAGCAAGAUUUGACAUCCCCGAGUUUGAGAUCCCUGGAACCUGAAGGCCAAGGGUGCCCUUCUGAGCACAGAAUGGCUGCUUAGAUGACCAGCACAUGAUGGAAAGGUUCAUCAAGAUGGACACUCACAUCCUGGAGAUUUUGAUGGUGUGUGGUGAAUUUUAUGAUGCUUAAAUUAUACCUCAAUGAAGAGGUGGCUGGGAGGGGGUAAAGAAGAGGAUGUUGGGAGAGCCAUAGCAUCUAGUCUUCCCAAAGGCAGGUCCACAAGGUGAGAGGGCUGAACAAGGAGUGUCCCUUUGCCACAAGGCAACUAUUCAGCCUUUGUCCGGAUGGGUGCAGGGAGGAGCUGGGAGCAGAGAUGUGGUCACAGUGGGUGGGGAUGAAGCCGCCUUUGGGGGUCUUAAAGCAUCCCUACACCUGUGCAGCCUCCUCUCUCAAAGAGAGCUUAAGAAAAUAGAUGCUAACUACUGAUGUUCAAUGUCACUGAUGGGGCCCCCCAGCCUGCUGGAGUUUGGCAGUCCUCAAGGGUAAUGGUCUACGGUAGACUGGAUGCUAAAUAUCCCCAGAGGCCUACCUGUUAAAGGCUUGCUGGACAGCCUGUUGCUAUGGGGAGGUGGUGGAGUCAUUUAAAGGUAAGGUAUAGUGGGGGUCUCUAGGUCAAUGGGUGUGCCCUUGAAGGAGAUUGUGGGACCCCUUCCCCCUCUCUCCCUGGCUUAUAAUGUAAAUGGUUCUGAUCUAUGACACACUUGUGCCAGGAGAUGCUUCCUCCACCGACCCAAAAGAAAACAACUCACGUGCUCAUUGACUAGAACUUGUAAAAUUACAAGCCAAAAUAAACAUUUUAUGAGUU